GACGAACGCUGGCGGCGUGCUUAACACAUGCUUUUCGAACGGAAAGGCCCUGCUUUUGUGGGGUGCUCGAGUGGCGAACGGGUGAGUAACACGUGAGUAACCUGCCCUUGACUUUGGGAUAACUUCAGGAAACUGGGGCUAAUACCGGAUAGGAGCUCCUGCUGCAUGGUGGGGGUUGGAAAGUUUCGGCGGUUGGGGAUGGACUCGCGGCUUAUCAGCUUGUUGGUGGGGUAGUGGCUUACCGAGGCUUUGACGGGUAGCCGGCCUGAGAGGGUGACCGGCCACAUUGGGACUGAGAUACGGCCCAGACUCCUACGGGAGGCAGCAGUGGGGAAUAUUGCACAAUGGGCGGAAGCCUGAUGCAGCAACGCCGCGUGCGGGAUGACGGCCUUCGGGUUGUAAACCGCUUUCGCCUGUGACGAAGCGUGAGUGACGGUAAUGGGUAAAGAAGCACCGGCUAACUACGUGCCAGCAGCCGCGGUGAUACGUAGGGUGCGAGCGUUGUCCGGAUUUAUUGGGCGUAAAGGGCUCGUAGGUGGUUGAUCGCGUCGGAAGUGUAAUCUUGGGGCUUAACCCUGAGCGUGCUUUCGAUACGGGUUGACUUGAGGAAGGUAGGGGAGAAUGGAAUUCCUGGUGGAGCGGUGGAAUGCGCAGAUAUCAGGGGGAACACCAGUGGCGAAGGCGGUUCUCUGGGCCUUUCCUGACGCUGAGGAGCGAAAGCGUGGGGAGCGAACAGGCUUAGAUACCCUGGUAGUCCACGCUGUAAACGGUGGGUACUAGGUGUGGGGUCCAUUCCACGGGUUCCGUGCCGUAGCUAACGCUUUAAGUACCCCGCCUGGGGAGUACGGCCGCAAGGCUAAAACUCAAAGGAAUUGACGGGGCCCCGCACAAGCGGCGGAGCAUGCGGAUUAAUUCGAUGCAACGCGUAGAACCUUACCUGGGUUUGACAUGGAUCGGGAGUGCUCAGAGAUGGGUGUGCCUCUUUUGGGGUCGGUUCACAGGUGGUGCAUGGCUGUCGUCAGCUCGUGUCGUGAGAUGUUGGGUUAAGUCCCGCAACGAGCGCAACCCUUGUUCACUGUUGCCAGCACGUUAUGGUGGGGACUCAAUGGAGACCGCCGGGGUCAACUCGGAGGAAGGUGGGGAUGACGUCAAGUCAUCAUGCCCCUUAUGUCCAGGGCUUCACGCAUGCUACAAUGGCUGGUACAGAGAGUGGCGAGCCUGUGAGGGUGAGCGAAUCUCGGAAAGCCGGUCUCAGUUCGGAUUGGGGUCUGCAACUCGACCUCAUGAAGUCGGAGUCGCUAGUAAUCGCAGAUCAGCAACGCUGCGGUGAAUAAGUUCCCGGGGCU
rnacentral:rRNA from 1 species